rnacentral:tRNA from 1 species
AUAAUCCUAGUAUAUAAGUACAUUUGACUUCCAAUCAAAAAGUUUGAAAAAAUCAAGAAUUAUA